rnacentral:rRNA from 1 species
AAUAGAUACCCAGGUAGUCCACGCCGUAAACGAUGGAUACUAGCUGUAGGGGGGUAUCGACCCCCUCUGUAGCGAAGCUAACGCGUUAAGUAUCCCGCCUGUGGAGUACGGUCGCAAGACUAAAACAUAAAGGAAUUGACGGGGACCCGCACAAGCGGUGGAUCAUGUUCUUUAAUUCGAUGCUAAACGAAGAACCUUACCAGGGUUUGACAUCCCGAGAAUUUUGCCGAAAGGCGAGAGUGCUUUAUUGAACUCGGUGACAGAUGAUGCAUGGCCGUCGUCAGCUCGUGUCGUGAGAUGUUUGGUUAAGUCCAUCAACGAGCGCAACCCUUGUGAUUAGUUGUAUUUUUCUAAUCAGACUGCCCCGGUAACGGGGAGGAAGGAGGGGAUGAUGUCAGGUCAGUAUUUCUCUUACAUCCUGGGCUAGAAACGUGAUACAAUGGCCGAUACAAUGCGCAUACGCCAACCCGGCGAGGGGGAGCAAAUCGCAUCAAAGUCGGUCCCAGUUCGGAUAAGAGGCUGAAACUCGCCUCUUUGAAGUCGG